UUGGUUUCUGGCAGCGCCGACGCAGUGCUGAUAAAAAAAAUAUAUAUAUCUUGCGCUGACGUCAGCUGCCCGAAGGCAAUAGGACAUACCAAAUCUCCUUGUGGGCUUGCUCGGGCUCGUGAGUCCCACACAUUGCCCAAGCUGGGUCUUCCGCGCUAGAGCUUCCUUCCAGGCCUAGGGUCCCCUCAUGCCUAGGCUAAACCCUUGCGGUGGAAGUGCUCUUAUACUCUAUCAUUAAUUCUUUCACUUCACCCACCCACUUGCUACACCUAACGCACUCUUUACUUGCUUUACCCACCCACAUGCAUACC
rnacentral:lncRNA from 1 species